ACGAACGCUGGCGGCGUGCUUAACACAUGCAAGUCGAACGGAAAGGCCCUGCUUUUGUGGGGUGCUCGAGUGGCGAACGGGUGAGUAACACGUGAGUAACCUGCCCUUGACUUUGGGAUAACUUCAGGAAACUGGGGCUAAUACCGGAUAGGAGCUCCUGCUGCAUGGUGGGGGUUGGAAAGUUUCGGCGGUUGGGGAUGGACUCGCGGCUUAUCAGCUUGUUGGUGGGGUAGUGGCUUACCAAGGCUUUGACGGGUAGCCGGCCUGAGAGGGUGACCGGCCACAUUGGGACUGAGAUACGGCCCAGACGCCUACGGGAGGCAGCAGUGGGGAAUAUGGCACAAUGGGCGGAAGCCUGAUGCAGCAACGCCGCGUGCGGGAUGACGGCCUUCGGGUUGUAAACCGCUUUCGCCUGUGACGAAGCGUGAGUGACGGUAAUGGGUAAAGAAGCACCGGCUAACUACGUG
rnacentral:rRNA from 1 species